CAGAUACCUAAACCACUGAACUAUCCAGCAGUUCAACAUAUGCCUUCAGCAUCAUGUGAGAAGGACCACCUGCUAGCAUGCCGCUGCCAUCCUGCAGAUGCUGCAUCAGCCUCGUGUCAUGAGAAGAAUGAAUUGCAACCAACAAGGACUACAAGGCAGAGGUGGGAGAAGAGGUGGUGGCGACAUCCAUCCACUUUCAAUGUGGACACCAUUUGCAACACAGGUGAAAUAAAUAAAGAAAAAAUGAACAAAAGAAAGAAGAACAAACAAAUGAAUGAAUGAACGAACCCAGAGUUAACAAAUCCCCAAAAGUGUGUGCUUAGGCUCUGACAGGGGAGGAGAAAGCUUACCCUUCCAAAUGAUACCAGAAUGUUACGGCCCAUAUUCCUCAACACUGGCUAUGCUAGCUAAGGCUGAUCAUUUAUCCUAGCAGAUGCCAUGUGCGCUUACUGCCCAAGCUCAAAGCUAUAAUAAAUGAGAAAGAAAAGCUCGAUGUGUGUUUUACACAGAGAUGGUCCCAGGCUGACUUGUCAGCAUCUCC